AUUUUUCACCCUACAAUCUACAAUACCUUCCCGUCACACAGUUGUCUGCUACACUGCGAUUCUGCGCUGUAAAUGCAUCUCAAAGCGUUAUAUGUAUGGUACCAUGGAUAAAAGAUAUUAGAUUACCUAAGAAGAUCACUGUCCGACGAGGAUGCAAGAUCUUUUGAGACGAUACAAUCAGUGGACCUGUGAAGAGUCAACUCGUCCCCGCUUCCACUAACCGUACCAGCUCCACUGAUCUCGGAAUCGCUGGAC